rnacentral:tRNA from 1 species
GCCCAGGUGGCGAAAUUGGUAGACGCGCUAGACUCAGGAUCUAGUGGACGCAAGUCCUUGCUGGUUCAAAUCCAGUUCUGGGCACCA